GACGUAGGAUGCAAGCGUUGUUCGGAUUUAUUGGGCGUAAAGCGAGCGUAGGUGGCUAGUUAAGUCUGGUGUUAAAGCUAGGGGCUCAACCCCUGUGUUGCACUGGAAACUGGCUGGCUUGAGUAUGGUAGGGGAAGGUGGAAUUCCGAGUGUAGCGGUGAAAUGCGUAGAUAUUCGGAGGAACACCGGUGGCGAAAGCGACCUUCUGGGCCAUUACUGACACUGAGGCUCGAAAGCUUGGGGAGCAAACGGG
rnacentral:rRNA from 1 species